rnacentral:rRNA from 1 species
UACGUAGGGGGCAAGCGUUGUCCGGAAUCAUUGGGCGUAAAGCGCGUGUAGGCGGCUCGAUAAGUCUGCUGUGAAAGUUCAGGGCUCAACCCUGAAAUGCCGGUGGAAACUGUCGAGCUAGAGUCCGGAAGAGGCGAGUGGAAUUCCUGGUGUAGCGGUGAAAUGCGCAGAUAUCAGGAAGAACACCCGUGGCGAAGGCGGCUCUCUGGGACGGUACUGACGCUGAGACGCGAAAGCGUGGGGAGCGAACAGG